rnacentral:lncRNA from 11 species
GCUUUGCCAGGAUGGGAGGGGGCUUCGGGAAUGGAUGGAGGAGGCUGCCAAAGAAGAAAGAAGAGAAGUUGCUGCCACCAGGCACCCACUCUUGCUUGAUUUGCGAAGCUGCUCACACACUGUGCCUCUGUCUCAGUGUCCUGUUUUGUCUUUCAAGAACAGCCUUAAAACAUUGUGGGUGGGAUUCCCAGGGAGAGUGCGGAUUAGCUUCCUCUAUCAGCUCCAGCUCCAUGACGGGACAUGAGAGAAGCCUCCCACAAGGAUGGUAAAACAUCAAAACAUCCGGGCAUCCACUGGGCAACGUCCUUGCAGACGGCCAAUUCUCUUACUCCAGAAGUGACUUGCAG